rnacentral:lncRNA from 1 species
CCGGUUAAAUCAACUCAGAACAAAACUUUGCAACUCUAAAAUUAACAUCAUGGUCCAACAAACAUAUGAACAAGGAAACAAUGAGAUUCAAAUGAUCCAAAUAUCAAUAGAGUGAACUACGACUUUAUGCUACCCAAUAAUCAUACCAACAAACAAGAAGGUAAAUGGAUAAAAUAAUCAGUGAAGAAAGGGAAGCGACGGACAUUUGAUAUAAAUUAACAGAGUUGAAAUUACAAGAGCUUUAAACAAUUCGACGAGUGUUGACUGGAGCUUUCACCGGUCACGGAACCUCGAACAAAAAAUCGCGACUUGCAACCCCAAUCGACCUUGCAAAAUCGGUGAUUUAGUGGCUUGUUUUUGCAAGGUUUAAAGCUGUGUUUUGGAGGGUGAUUUUGCUGGAUUUUUCGAAAGAAAGACGAAGAAAGAAUGACAUGAGUAGAAAUUCUCUUACCUAGAAGAAAAAAAUAAAUUUCUCUCAAUUCCCUCCUCCUUCUUUUUUUUUCUCCUUCUCCCCCCUUUUGUUUUCUCACAUUUCUCUUCUAUUUAUAGAAAAAAGUUUGGAAUUGUUUCAGAUUUGUUUUUUUUGUUUUUUUAAUUAAAAAGAAUUCCCACUUCCCAUUUUUCUUCUUUUUUAAAAAAAAGAAAUAACUCCCCACUUUCCUUUACUUUUAUUUUUUAAUUUAUCACUUUUUUUCUUUUAUUAUAUUUAAAUUCCUACUUUUUUUACUUUUAUUUUUUUAUUUUUCACUUAUUUUAAUUUUUUUUAAAUUUCCAUUCUCUUUUACUUUUUUUUAAAAACAAUUCAGCUACAUUUAAUUUUAUUUUUUAAUUCCAACUUUAUUUUAUUUUUUAUUUUUUAAAUUUUGACAUUCUUUUACUUUUAUUUUUUUAAUUUUCCACUUUCUUUUAUUUUUUUUAUUAAACAAUUUUCACCUACUUUUACUUUUACUUUUUAAUUCCAUAAUUCUACUUUUUCUGUUUUUUUUUAUUCCCAUCCAAAAAUUUUAAAAAAAAAUAUUUAAUUUUUUCCGGUUUUUUAAUUUAAUUUAUUUUAAAAUAAAUUAAAAAAUAAUAAUAAAAAUAAUAUUAAUAGUUAUAAUUGACCUUUUAAAUUAUUUUUAAUUUUUACCCUAUAUAUAAAAAAAAGUAACAAAGCUAAAAAAUAUAUAUUAUAUUUCUAAAAAUAUUUACACAGUAUAAGGUGAUAAAAAUUCAAAUAUAGUCAAAAAUUAGGUGCUCACAAGCAUAUUCAAUGUUUCUCCCAACAUAAACUGGCCCUACCUCACUCACAAGAAUACCCACCAAUAUAAAAUCUCAAAAUUAGAUAUUUCUGCCAUUACCCUACAAAUAACAGUAAAAAAGACAACAAUGAAUAAGGCAAAAAAAUAGAACAACUUAUUAAACUAACAUAAAUUCACAACAACUUCUUAAACUAAUAACAAACAGCAUGCAUACAACUAUAUAUUCGACAAAAACAUAAACAAGCAGAAAGAUGUAACAAAAAAGACCCAUUUUUUUUAACAUAUAACUAAUUCGCAGAACCUCAAUACCAUAAUUUUGCAACAAAGAUAGUAAGGAAUAAAGAACAGGAUUUGUUAACAACUUAGGUGUUUCCUUUCAACAAUCUUGAGAAUAUUUAGUAUUGUAAACCCUAAUUCUUUAUACCAUUUGAGGAGCAAAACCCUAGAUUUUAACUUGAUUUCAAACAGAAGCAACAAUAGACAUAUCAAUCGAUGUUAGAACCAACAUUAAUGGAGAAAAUCGCUACUGAGAUGAGAGAUUGAGUCGCUACUGUAGCGAUUUUUCAAUGAGAGAAUAUUUUCGGUGAGAGCAAAGAGAAAAUGACUUAACUGAGAGAAAUGACCGACUAUGUUUAAUCUACUUAGCCCCUUUUUUAUUUUUACCUAACUCAGUUAAGGUAAUAAUAAAAACCUUAAUCAAGUGUGUUUUUAAGAUUAACCUAACAAAAUGUCCACGUAGAUUGCCACAUGGCAGAUUUUAAAAGUAAUAAAGAGCAUCUAUCGUACGCACUAGUAAGAAUGUGACGAGGGAGUUUUAUUAUGAAGGGGGAUAUAGUUCAGGAAAUUUUUGGGGAUAGUCGAUAGUUUAGGUAGGAAACUGGCAAAGGUUGUAUAGUUUAGGCGGGUUUGAAGGUAUUAACUCUUUAUUAAUAAAUCGACUAGGGUUUUUUAAUAUAUAUGGGGAUACAGUUAAGGGAGGUUUUGGGGAUACUGGAUAGUUUAAGUAGAUAACUGAUAAAAACGUGAUCGAUUAGGGUUUUUAGGAUAUUCACUCUUUUCUAAAUAAAAAUAAACAAAAAUUAAAAUUAUAGUUUUUGUUUCAUAAAUACACAACAAUUAGAAAGUAUUUACUAAUUUACUAGUGCCUACUCGAAUUAAAAAAAAGUGUGUCUAGUCUAAUAAUCCUAUUUAAUAGUUAUUUUUUUAGUGAGUGUGAUUCAAAGUCUUUGAAAACAUCCGGACAAAUCUAUCUACAAAAUUUAAGAAAGAUCGGAGGUAAUCUGGACUGGUUUGAAGUAGAAAUUCAUAUUUGAAAUCGACCUAGAAAAUACACGAUAAUGUAUAUCACAUGUAUAUGUUAUGUAUAUAACUCCCUCCAUCUCAAUUUAUGUGGCACUAUUUGGACUUUGGUUAGACAUAAAAUUUAAGAAAGGAAUGAAGACUUUUAGGAUUUUUGGUCUAAAACAAGCUUUAACAUUUAUGUGGUUGUGACUUAUCACAUUAAGAGUAAAAAAAUAGUUUUAAAAUUAAAUUAUUUCUAAAUAUAUAAAAUGACAUUUUUUUAGGACAGACUAAAAAGAAAAGUGUGACAUAUAAAUUAGGGCAUAUGAAGUACUAUAUAUCACACAUUGAUUUUGAUGGAUAUCACAUAUAUACAUAAUAUAUAGAAGAUAUAUACAUUGAUAUACAAUCGGGAUACAUAAAGAGAAUAUAUACAAAUGUACACCGCGCUUCCCCUCGUCUUCUUCGAUACACCGACUCAAAAUUUCCACUACUAACUCUUCAAAUUAAAUCCCAAAUGAGCUCAAAAUUAGUAUAAGCUUCACACAAGUAUUAUUAAUAAGAUUUUUGAACAUCCACUUCGAAUUACAAACACUUUUUGGAUUUAAUUUUUAGAUUUGAGAGCUUCAAGCACAACAAUAGUGGGUUUCAAGGUCUUCUUUCAUUUAGUGGUUUUCAGUGAUUUAAAACAUGUGUUGAUGUGGUGGUAUUACUGUAUGGUGGAGGAAGUGAGUAAGAAGGUGAAUGUUAGGAUCAGGAACCUGGGUAGUGCGAAAUUUAGCCAAACAACGGUAUAAUGACAAUAACAACGACAAUGCAAGUUGAUAAUAACGGCAAUUAAAUAAGAUAAAGAAGGCACCAAUUUAACGCGGUUCGGUCAAGGAGACCUACGUCCACAAGCGGAGAGGAACAAUUUCACCAUAGCAAUAAGAGUACAAAAGAGAGUACAAAAUUAGAGUAAAUACUCUAAUUUAUCCCAAAUACCCUAAAAGAAUAACCUCACAAGAUCACUCCAAAGAAAAGGUUCACACAAGUAUUUCCUAACACUCAACUCUCCUACAAAACUCUAUAAUGAAAUAAAGAAAAGGCAAGAGACGUUUUUCUCAAACUUUGGUGU